GAAUAAUGUAUUUAUUUUCCCAAUCAUUGAUUAUUAUUUUUUUCUUUUUCCUUCCUUUUUUCUGAAGUCAAUUCUUGUUGUUAACUUUUGUCAUCAGUAUUAUUUUCUCACUAGAUGUCACCAUUUAGUCUUAGGUCUUCAAAAGUGAAAAUAAAUAUUAAAAUAUAGAAGACAGAAGGGUGAAAUUAAUGUAAUUACAUAUGGCUCUGACUCUUGGAAUUUUUUUCCCCCCUGAAAUUUUAAAUAAAAAGUGAACCAAUGUUGUCAUCUGCCUUGAAUCCAAUGCCUUAAUGCAGUUCAACUUUCGUCCCACUUUUCCUGGGGCACAGUCCUACAUUUCUGAUACAUUGAUCGAUAAUGUUUUGGCUGUGUUUGAUAUCUGGAUUAGGUUCACUAUGAUUAUGAAUUCGGUGGGAUUGAGUGAUGGGAUUACUAAUAUGGUGGUAUUAGGUUGGAAAUGUGAGAUUAAUUGCAUUUGUUUGUUUACUGCAAUUGAGCUGUAUAUUGAAGAUAUCCCUAGUUUGCUCACUGCUUAGAUGAGAAAGCUAACCAAAUACUUUUCCCUCGACUUUUCAUUUCUUCCCUCGUCAAGACAGUCCCUUCUAUUAACUAUCAUCUGCUUAUCGGAUUUGGCUUGCAUCUUUGGUUUCAAUGUUUCCUCUGACGGGUUAGUGAGAAUUGGUCUAAAGAGACGGGAUUUGGACCUUAACAGUAUAUAUGGCGUAGCAAUUAUCAGAGGAGAGGUUAUCCAUGCCAAUGGUAAGGGCAACGAUUCCAAUAGUAAUUGUGUUGACAAUUUAAAAGAUGAUGUGGUGUAUUUGAAAAAUUUUAUGGACACCCAAUAUUACGGAGAGAUUGGCAUUGGUUCACCUCCACAACACUUUGCUGUUGUCUUUGAUACCGGCAGUUCCAAUCUUUGGGUGCCAUCUUCGAAAUGCCACUUUUCUAUUGCUUGCUAUAUGCAUUCUAAGUACAGGGCAAAGCUAUCCAGUACAUAUACUGAAAUUGGAACAUCUUGCAAAAUCCAUUAUGGUUCUGGAUCUAUAUUUGGCUUCUUCAGCCAAGAUAAUGUGAGAGUUGGAGAUGUUAUCAUCAAAGAUCAAGUGUUCACCGAGGCUACAAAGGAAGGAUUAUUUAUGUUCUUGCUUGCACAAUUUGAUGGGAUUAUUGGACUUGGGUUUCAGGACAUUGCAGUUGGGCAAGUCUCACCAGUGUGGUACAACAUGGUUAAACAAGGUCUUGUGAGCCGACAAGUCUUCUCUUUAUGGCUGAAUCGAGAUCCUAAAUCAAAGAUAGGAGGUGAGAUUGUCUUUGGUGGUGUUGAUUGGAGGCACUUCAGGGGUGACCACACUUUUGCCCCAAUCGCACAAAAUGGUUACUGGCAGAUUGAGGUAGGUGAUAUUAUUAUUGCAAGCAAUUCAACAGGAACAGGUGUCAGAGAACAAAUUUCCUUUCAAUGCAGAAAAUUACAAAUGAGAGAGAGAGAGAGAGAGAGGGUCAUACAUGUCUGAGCCCGCACUUUUUGUGAUCUGUUCAUCUUCUCUCUAUUUGUCCUAAAAAGUCUCAGAUCACUCGAUUUUCCUCUGAAAUUUACACAGACCCACAUACAUAUACCUCCAGAUUUUGUAGCCUGAGGUUUAUGGUAAUUUUGAGCUCUAUUCCAGCCAUCAAAGACGCGUUUUUUUGAAGUCAUUUCCGAAACAUACUUUGAACAUAGGAUCAGUGGGUCUGGUUUGGCUGACUGACUCUGGACCAAAAUGAACUUGUUGACAGAUUGUGAGAGUAUGGCCUCAAUUGGUAUUUGAUAUGAAGACCAUCACCAUCUAUUUUUAUGUCUUCUCUUAUUAUAUGAUGUGUUAAUGCUGUAAUAGUGCUACAUUUUGUUUCUACCUUAAACUCAGGUUUUUUGACAGGAGCACAUCUUGGAAAUUUGGGUAGUUGGUUUAGAAAACGGUCUAAUAUUGUGAUGUCAGGUUAUGUUGUUAAUAGAUAUACUCAAUUUUGUACUUUAGAAUGAUAUAAUUCCAUUUUAAUCUUUGACUGCAUUGUUCAAAGGUAUAUCAGUAAUUUCAUAUCUUGUAUAUGGAAGUUAAAUUCUAUUCCACCUGUUUCCUCGUUGUUUCCUCGUGCAACUUCUGUAUCU